UACGUAGGGUGCAAGCGUUAAUCGGAAUUACUGGGCGUAAAGCGUGCGCAGGCGGUUGUGCAAGACAGAUGUGAAAUCCCCGGGCUCAACCUGGGAACUGCAUUUGUGACUGCACGGCUGGAGUGCGGCAGAGGGGGAUGGAACUCCGCGUGUAGCAGUGAAAUGCGUAGAUAUGCGGAGGAACACCGAUGGCGAAGGCAAUCCCCUGGGCCUGCACUGACGCUCAUGCACGAAAGCGUGGGGAGCAAACAGG
rnacentral:rRNA from 1 species